rnacentral:misc_RNA from 1 species
GGUUGGUUGGAUCCCUGCUUGGGCAGCGACAUCCCUCGUGCAAGCCUYUUCAAUUUUYGGCCCAAGGGCAACUUAGCCUUGGCCGUGUGUCGGUUUCCUGUGUUGAAUACCUACUAAAACGGAAUUCGUACGUGCGACGUUUUGUUAUUCGCCUAGUGCUGUCCCAUCGGUUGUCCCUUUGGGGUGCGGUGUCGGGUGAACCUCAAAGUGAUCUUCGUGUUCUUCGCCACCCACGAAACGUGCCGUUGGCGCAGCCCACGAGGAUUGCUUGAGCUCUCGGAUGCGGAAUAUGCGGAGGGCAGUAGGCGUACGGCCUCUCUUUGCCCGAAUCAAGCGUUUAUUCGCUCAUUACCGAACGACGGCCGGCGGUGCCCUUGAUGUGCCGAAGCCCACCACGGGUAUUGGCAUCGUCAUGCAUCUCCGGCGUCACUAAGGAAUGCUACCUGGUUGAUCCUGCCAGUAGUCAUAUGCUUGU